UACGUAGGGUGCGAGCGUUAAUCGGAAUUACUGGGCGUAAAGCGCACGUAGCCGGUUUUUUAAGUCAGAUGUGAAAGCCCCGGGCUCAACCUGGGAAUUGCAUUUGAAACUGGGAAACUAGAGUGUGUGAGAGGGGGGUAGAAUUCCAAGUGUAGCGGUGAAAUGCGUAGAGAUUUGGAGGAAUACCAGUGGCGAAGGCGGCCCCCUGGCACAACACUGACGCUCAGGUGCGAAAGCGUGGGGAGCAAACAGG
rnacentral:rRNA from 1 species